UAACUUGCACUGCUUUUCCAUCUCCAGAGAUUCACAUGACUGCAACCACAUCUCUCUCCAUAUUGCCUAUAUUUCUAUUUGUGGACUGCUUGCCACUACUUUGGUUCACUUUUGCCUCCUUACAGAACACAUGCAUUGCCUUCUCUCACUGGACAUCAUGUCACCUUGAGUACAAUCCUUGAAAGUUGCUGUCACAACUUAACACAGAACAGUUGUCAUAAUGGGUAACUUCAUAGGUGUGGGAACACUGCCAACAUCUACAGCAGAUGACAAGUUAGACGAGAAAGUUCUCUCUGCAGAAGAAGAAGGAGCAAUUAAGAAUGCCACAGAUGAGGCAUACAAGACACAGACCACUGAGAUACUCAUGGACCUGGCCAGGGAUUCUUGUGAUGUUAUGGGACCACUGCUCUCUUAUGUGAGUCAGAACCAGGACCAGUUGGAAAGUC